UGCUCUGGUCCUCCACUUCUUCCAGCAUCCACCCUCACAAUGAGACAGCUGGUGAGAGCAAGAGGGAGACAGCUCAAGGCUGGCAGCCAGGCCGGAAAAGCACCAACAACAGCUCAGGAGGCCAGCACAGGCAUCCUCCAUCGGGUGGGAAGAAACAGUGCCCGUGGCUCUCAGUGGCUCUGCACAUCCAUGGCUUCUCCUACACCUUUGUGAGCACCACACUGCCAUUUCUGGGGACAAAGGGCCCUUCAGUAAGUCACAGGUGGUGCCUGGAGCCCCCUGUGUCACUGUGGUGGCAGAGUAGUGCCUCAGCUUGUUGCUGGCUCCUGGCUGAGCAGGUGGGGUGAGGAAGCCUACAGCACCGCGUGCAUUUUGAUUUUCUGUAGGCAUCUGCAAGCCCACCAGGCACAAGUAAGGGCUGCCCAAGUAGCCCAUGGGCAAGAUCCAUAAGAAUUAAGAGAAGAGCGCAGGAGCAAAGCCCACAGCAAUUCUUUGUCUUUCUAUCCCUCUCUUCAGGACUUUUCCCCCCCUGUGAAUCCCCGGCCUUCCUAGAGAAAUGCUUGUUUUUCACUGUUUGCCUUUUAGCUGUGUGCUGAAUUUUGUAAGGAAUGCAGAAAGAGUCAAGCCAAGCAAUAAAGUGCUUAUAAAGUGUCACUGCCUGGGCAGCACCUCCUCUUCCCCUAAACUCAGCGUAGCUCAGGUUUUUAAAAUGACAAUGUUCUAACAUUCUCACCCUUUGCAGGACUGUAGAAGAAUGUUUCAAUGACUCUAAUAAUUUAAAAAAUGCCUGCUAGUUGUUCAUUGUUCAACUGGUACACAUUGCACAGCUGAAUAAUUCCUAUUGGUUCCCGGUAGUUGAUGGAGGAAAGGCCACAGGAACCAAGGAAGAGACUGGUUGAAGAAAGCAGAAUAAAUUAGGAUCAUUAUUUCACCCUG